UCGAGAAUCUUGGGCAAUGCGCGAAAGCGUGACCCAGCAAUGCCGCGUGCAUGAUGAAGGCCCUCGGGUUGUAAAAUGCUGUCGACCGGGAAGAACACAAUGACGGUACCGGUGGAGGAAGCCACGGCUAACUACGUGCCAGCAGCCGCGGUAAUACGUAGGUGGCGAGCGUUGUUCGGAUUUAUUGGGCGUAAAGGGUCUGUAGGAGGUUGAUUAAAUUCGAGGUGAAAUCCCAGAGCUCAACUCUGGAACUGCCUUGGAGACUGAUUGACUAGAGUACUGGAGAGGUAAGCGGAAUACCAAGUGUAGCGGUGGAAUGCGUAGAUAUUUGGUAGAACAUCAAUAGCGAAGGCAGCUUGCUGGACAGAAACUGACUCUGAAAGACGAAAGCGUGGGGAGCAAACA
rnacentral:rRNA from 1 species